rnacentral:misc_RNA from 1 species
GCUCAAUAUACCUUCUAGUUUCUAUAGGCAUUUGUAAUGGUGUCAAAAUCAUCUUUAAUGCCAACUUCAUCAAUUUUGCACUAAGCAGUUAAAUGCGGAGGUAUAAGUUUAAUGCUGUUAUAGAAGGCCUUCUGAAGGACAGAAACAAAUAGCAAAACUUCUUCUGGAAGUCAAUUCAGUUUGUCCUCUGCUUCUGAUGAAUAUUUCCUUGUAUUAGAAAUGGGUAAGAUCACUUUCUUUUAACUUGGCAUAUUUUUAAUAAAAAUGCAAAAUAAUAAGAUUUUAAGGAUAAAGUGGACUGGGUGAUUUGUGCAUGUUUAAAGUGUUAUGCCA